rnacentral:tRNA from 1 species
GCGCACGUGGCGGAAUUGGUAGACGCGCUGGCUUGAGGGGUCAGUGGGAAUUAUCCCGUGGAAGUUCGAGUCUUCUCGUGCGCA